CUACGGGGUGCUCCAGUGGGGAAUAUUGCACAAUGGAGGAAACUCUGAUGCAGCAACGCCGCGUGGAGGAUGACACUUUUCGAAGCGUAAACUCCUUUUAUACAGGAAGAAGAUGACGGUACUAUAUGAAUAAGCGCCGGCUAACUCCGUGCCAGCAGCCGCGGUAAUACGGAGGGCGAAAGCGUUACUCGGAAUCACUGGGCGUAAAGAGCGUGUAGGCGGAUUAAAAAGUCAGAAGUGAAAUCCUAUAGCUUAACUAUAGAACUGCUUCUGAAACUCUUAAUCUAGAAUAUGGGAGAGGUAGAUGGAAUUUCUGGUGUAGGGGUAAAAUCCGUAGAGAUCAGAAGGAAUACCGAUUGCGAAGGCGAUCUACUAGAACAUUAUUGACGCUGAGACGCGAAAGCGUGGGGAGCAAACAGGAUUAGAUACCCCCGUAGUC
rnacentral:rRNA from 1 species